AUAACUUACACUGUCCAUAUCUGGCAGUUAUUCAACCGUUUAGGAAUUACCGUACUGAGAAGAUCUCGAAAACGGUCUAGGAGUUAUGGUAAUAAGAAAUAUACAUGUCAAAUCCUGUUGGAUGAUCACAGAAGGGUUAACUGAUCAAUAACUUGAAAAAAGUUGUCUAGCCCAGUUUUACAUUCAGGUAAUCGCUGUCAUUUCAUAAAUGCUUUUACUCAUUAAUGAUGAAGCCUGUAUCUCAUUUCUAUUCCAGGAGUAAUGGACAAAUGACAAACCCCUGGAGAGACAAGAGACCCGGUGGGACGUCACAAGGGAGGAGGACUACAUGACACAGCACUGAGACUCAGACGGAUCAAUAACUCCACAACCAGAGUGUGUGCAGUCACAUCCUGAUGGCUGCUGGAGCUCUGUCUUACAUGACAUGGCUGCCUGGAUGCACCAAACCAAUCUGGCGAAGAUCCCAGUGGUCUAAUUAAGACCGGGGCCUCAAUUCCAACUGCAUUAACGAGCUUCCGCCUUCAAUACAAUCAGCAGCAAAACAGAUAUCGCGAAGAUUUGUGCACUUUCUCUGUAAACUCCUCAGCUGGCUUCUUUCGCUAGAUUGGAUGAAAAGGAGAAUACUCGAGGACGAGGUGUGAUACUUCUCUGUACUCGAAAACUAAAAUCAAACAAACGCUUUCGUUAACUGAAAUAAGUUUUUUGUAACUGAAUUGUGUGUUUAUAAAACUAACUAAAAUUGUA